UCUCAAAUAAGAGGUCGAGUUGCAGUACUUAGGGAUCGAAUUCACGGAGAGCUAAGGCACACAAUAGAUCUACUAGUUAUGUGGUUAAGCUAGGCAAACAUGUUUUAAAUGUAAAUAGUAGGGUUGUGAAGAAUUAAUUGUUCGAUUAAUUGAUUGGGGUUUUAAGAAAGAUAUGGAAAGCGUUAGACUUAGAGUUUCUAUUCAGACAAUGGAUAUUCUAGAACUCAAACAAUAAGAAUAGUCGAUCAACUUCCAUAUUUUUAGACUAUCUAUCGUCAGAUCUAGGACCUCAGCUGUUUCUUGUUGGUCCUGAGAAAGUGUCCAUCGAUUCCAACAAUGGGGUGUCGAUCGAUACACCUUUCAGCCUGUUGAUCGAUACAACUAAUGAGUUGUCGAUCGAUGAACCUUCCAACCUUCCAGGAGCGUUAUGCACAGGUUUGACGUGUUUACUAGGUUUAGAUAAAUCAUCUUCCGCUUGUUUCUAGCAAUCCUAGAACAAUCUAAACUAAUUCAGAUAGAGAACAGAACUUUCGCUUGCACCCUAAUAUCUAUAGGCAACGUCCUAGUUAGCUACUCUAGAACACAUGCAUUAAGAACAAUUUAAUUGAUGGAUUUCCUAAUACUUAGAAAUUCUAUAUUUUGGGCUAAACCCCCAUAAAUAUUUGAACCCUAAAUCUAAAAAGGAGAAUUACUCAGACUUCGCUAAACAAUUCAUCAAAAAAAAGAUAUGAAAACUGCAUAAAUAGAAUAGAGUAGAAAACUGGAGUUCCAAUCACAAAUCUCUGAAGGAGUUCUUGGAUCUUCUCUCCAAACCAAAUACUCUAAGUAUUUUUCUGUAUGAAAGUAAGAAAGCGUGUAUUGCCUAAAAUAAUGGCAAAACACAUAAAUAUUAGGUUAAAACUCGUCAGGGGUAAUAUGGUAAUUUUUGUGGGACUUGGGCUUAAAGUCAGCUGGAACCAAUCUGACCUCUGCGUGCUUCACUGUCAAUCGACAACACAGAAUAUGUGUUGAUCGAUUAUCAUCCCCGAUCAUCGAUCGCUAGGCUAGUCGAUGGUCAGCUACGAGUCUUAUAAUUUUAUCUCCAAAAUGCACUAAAGUCACCACUUUCGUCCAAAUCACUCCAAAACCUGAAAACAUACUGAAAAGACUCCAAAACAACUAUAAUGUAUUUAAAAAAACCUAUAUACCAUGACUAAAAAUGGGUAAAAUCCAUGGUAUAUCAACACCCCCAGACAUACUCUUGCUUGUCCUCAAGCAAAAGAACAAACAGUCUCUCUGUAAGUGGUUUGAAAAUCACAGGGGCUCACACAAUUUAAGAACUUACAAUCACCAACUCAGCAAUAUUGCAAACUACAUCAAAUCAAGCCUAACUCAUAAGUACUUUCUAUGCAAUAUCCUAGUUUAGCAACCAAUUCCAUUCAUAUAGCAACUUAACUAAUCAUGUCUGACUAACCCAUCUACUGACCUCAUUUCAUUCAUAUAAAUAACAAAGGUGUAGACUUUACCUUGGGAGUAUCGAUCACUAAACACAUGGAAUAAACUCAAACAAGUAUCUGGAACUACAUGUAAACUUUUCUGGUUCCCCUUCUCUCUUCUCUCUUCUCUCUUCACUAAAUCCGAUUUAUUUUAUUUUAUUUUUUUACUGGGCAAAGUUGUAGGCAAAUAGUGGAGUCAUCGAUAAUGUAUCUACCCCUCGCUUCUAAACAAUGUGUGAUCAUUCUAUUAGAGUAGAAUAAUGGGGUCGCAGGAGACACUCCUACCCCUCUACACCACAAGAAAUCAUUUCAAUCUUUUUGUAAAUAUAUAUGGAUGCGAAAGAGAGGUGGAAGGAAAACUAGGGACACUAAGUCUAAUACCUUCUAGACUUGCAGGAGGAUUCCGAUCCAUUGUAUACCAAGCCCCAAGACAAGAAAGUUAAGCUCAAUUAGGUUGGAGGUCAGCUUAGUUCUUUCAAACAUUUCAGCAAGUGUGAAUAACUGGCAGGAUGAUCCACUUUAGCAUCUAUAGUACAAUUUGUAGUCAAUAAAUCUAAGAAUGGUGCUAAAGAGUGGUUAGAUAAGUAAGGAAAGUUUUAAAAGUUCAUUGUCCCCUUCUUGACCCAAUAAAAACUUUUUUUGAAUUUUUUUAUAAAAUUCAUAGGUAAACUUAAUAUUAGUAAACCUCCCCUCAGACUUAAAUUACACUGUCCCUAGUGUAUAUCUAGUCGGAGUUUGAUUGAAACAUAAAUCAUAAGGACAAUAUGUAACAAGGAGUACGAUAUACCUGAUCGCUGAUGUCGAUGUCGAUCGACACAUGGGAGUGUCUAUCGAUCGCUUCUGGUGUUGUGCUAUCGAACGAUGCCGACUGGAUCUCAUCGAUCGAUGACAGGUAACAGCUCAUUGGGUCUUUCUUUUGGUUUUUUUUUUUUUUGGGUUUUGCAAUUUUUUUAUUUAAUUUAUGACUUGAAAUAUAAUUAAAAAUGAAAAUAAAUAACCGCAAACACUAAAACUUUAAAGAAAGUACCUAAUAGUGAGUUGCCACCCACUCAACGCUUUGUUAUAGUCAUUUAGCUUGAUUUUGGAGGAUGUUUUUGGCUAGUAGUAAUCAAAGUGACCACUUGGUUGUAUGCAAGUGUCCACUUCAUCUUUGCUUAUCUGAAACCAAGUGCCAAUGAAGCUUUUUAUGGCCUCAUCUCCUCUGGUCCACUGAUUCUUUAAUCUUUCUCUAGCAACCUCACUUGCAUUCAUCCUAUGCUGAAGAUUUCCAAUGUUGCGCUGUUGCAAUCCAAUUAUGGCAUGUGUAGAUUCUGAGAUGUCUUUCAACUCCUGGUAGACAUCUUCUUUCAGAAAGUCUUGAGAGAAAGUGAUCUCAUCAAGCUUAUCCUGUAAGUCCUUUUCGGCUACCAGCUUGCUUCGUAAUCUGGUAUAGUCGCUGUCGAUCGAUGGGUGUGUCCGUCUGUCGAUCGAUGGUAACGGUUCUGCUUGAAAGUCUAGCUGUCUCUGAAUCAUGUCUAUCGCUUGCUGCAACGCGUUCAUGUGUGUGGUCAAUGAAUUGAUAUUGUCACAGAGCGGGUAGUAGACACCAUCAAGCCUGUAGGUGAAUGAUUGAAGCCUAUCUUCAAAUGAUGCAGGUCGAGCAUCGAUCGAUGUUUAGAUGUCGGCGUCGGUCGAUGUUUGAGCGUUAGCGGCGAUCGAUUUUGAUCUUCCUGCGCCGACUGCAUGUUGUUUCUGAAUCAUGGCUAUGUUUUGCUUCCUCUCAUCUAUGCGUGUGGUCAACCAGCUGAUACUGUUGUCGAAUGGGUAGUAGACGUCCUCGAGCCUCUUUGAAUGAUAAUCAUCUGAAGUCCGAAUAGCUCUGUAGAUCUCUGCUACCAUCUCAUCAAUCUUUGCUUUGCUGUAACUGGCUUCGUCAGCCACGGUAGGUGUGGGUGUCUCUGUGUACUCCCAGCGAGGUUUCCUUUUCCUCUUUUGAUGAAGUACUCUUCUGAAUUCGGACUGGCCGUCGAUCGAUGGUGCUUUGGUUUUGUCGAUCGAUGGUGGAUCCUCAACUCUAGUCCGCGUGUCCAGAAAGUUUCUGGACCCAUUCAUGGUAAUAAUGUCAGCUAUGUCCUCCUUGGAUAUGUUGAGAAUGUGUCCAUCCAUAGCUCGUGCUUGGCCUUCUGGAUCCCUGAAAAUACCAAAUUCAUCCGUAGUUAGAUAACCAAUAUGUAUUGUUGGGGUCAAAAACGGUAACGACGUAAUUAACGCUUGAAUGUCGUCGAUGUUGGGGCAAAAACGGACAUGACGAAGUUAACAUCCAAAUAUCCGUAAAAAUCAUCAUGAACGUUUUUACGAAAAGUAAUUUUCGUAAAGAAAUCUUUACGAAAAACUUUGCGGUGAAACAUUGCAUUAAUCUUGGUUCAUUCAUCGGAACUAAAGAACACGUUCAUGAAACAAGGUCGCCACGUAACGACCGACCCGCGAACAAGCCGGUCGCUACAUAGCGACCGACCCGCGCACGAGUCAGUCGCUACGAAGCGACCGACCCAGCCUCUCAGUCGGUCGCUACGUAGCGACCGAUCCGCAACGAGUCGGUCACUACGUAGCGACCGACCAAGCCUCUCGGUCGAUGACCCCCUCACGAGCUGCCUCUCCAACCUAUUGGGAGGAGGAGGAUUGCUAGAAGAGGCCCCACCUCCUCCUGAGAGUGCUCCGCUUCAUCCUCAGCGGCACCCGACCUCCGGGGCAACACCCGAUCCGUCCGGCAUCGAGAAGGCAGCUCGAAUUCAAGCACGAUCGAACGAAGGCCAAUUCGAGCGACCUCCCCUAAGAGCUCCGAUUAAACCCCGAAGCCCGUCGGUCAUGUCCGAUCUCCCCGAAUGAACUAGAACGAACAAAAAAAAAUCCAUCAAUAACUGCCCGCGCAUGCAAAAGUAAUAAAGAGUAACUUACCUAUGUCCUCAGCCCAAUAGCGGGGAAGCCUCGAGAAAUCAAAACUUCCCACAGACGCCUCAUCGAUCUUGAAGACAAAGAAUUCUUCCCGCCAGUUUUGAUCACGAUAUGAGAUAUCCUGUAUGAUGUGACGUCCUUGACGGGGAGACAUAAGAAAGGUCCCAGGUUUUGAUUGUUUCGCUUCAUCAGAACGAGAUGAUGAAGCUCAUUGAGGCCGAACAAUAGACCUUCUUCGCGAGCCUUGACUAGGAGUGCCAAAAGAUGUCUCAAGAAAUUGGGACACAUCUGAGUGAGCGACAAACCCAGUUCUGCCAGAAUACUAAGGAUAGGUUCUGGGAUCGGGAAGAAAAGACCGCAGGUCUCAAAGAAGGUGAGAUACGCCCCACCGUAUCCAUCACGAACAACUUCCGGAGAUUCAGUCGUGGAAGCCAAAUCAACUACGACGGUCCCCAUUGACGCCGUGGACGGUAGUAUAACUAGUAUAACCAGUAUAACUCAGUAUAACAAAUUCAGAAGUAAAACUCGAUAUAACUUAUACAACUAAGUAAAACUAUAUCAAUAUAAUGUAGUAUCCCAAAUUUGAAAAUUCGAAAUUUUGAAAAUUUGAAUUGUUUUUUAAAUAAUUCAAAAAUAUAAAAGGGCAAAAUCGGUUAUUCAUAUUUAAUUAAAGCAAUGGGGGUAUAGGAGAUUUGAGAGGCCCAUAGGAGAUUGCUCUAUGACAUACGGGGGCAUGAGAAAAGUUGGUUCUCCGGCGAGUUUCCCCACCUCUUCCGUUCUCAAUCCAGCGAUGCUUGUAUCCGACAAUUACAUACCCUAUAUAUUCUCUCUGCUUAUGCAAAACCCUAGAUGUUGGAGGGGAAGAAGAUCUGUUACUCUUCAAUGGCGGAAGUAGAGAACGCUAAUGCAAUCCUGGUCUCAGAAUAUGAGAAGCUAAUCGUGGCAAGCGACGUGCCUGGAGAUGGGUAAAACUUCCUCCGCCUCUCUCUCUCUCUCUCUCUCUCUCUCUCUGUUGAAUCCAAUCUCAUCUUGCAUAUGGUAUUUGUUUACUGUAUGACCAGAACUGGAUUAGUCUAUGUUCGAUUAGCAGAAAAAGACUUUGUCCUUUUGGUGUGUGAUUCUGAUUGUUUCUCAUUAUGCCACUGGAACUGAGUUCUGAUAUGCGUUUUGUGGGAAAAGUUUUACCCUUUUCAUCAGACUGCAUUCUGAUUUGUCGCGUUUACUGAUUUGUAGCUACAUAUUGGCUAUUUUACUGAUUUGGUAUUAUAUGAUGGAGCUGGAAUCUUUGAUUGUCUUCUUUUGGAAACAUCUCCUCUAUUACCUCCAAAUCUCAUAACUCAAUCUCCCAAGGACCCCAUCUAAAAUUAUUUUAUUUUAUAUAAUUUUAAUGCGAAAGUUAAGUUAAUUACACUAAUACCCCUAACCGUAAUAUACAGAUAUCAAUUGAUUUAGUUUUUCUUAUUCUUAUCAUUCUUUAUCCUUUUCUUUCUCUUUUCUCUGCCACAACCGUUCCUUUUUUUCUCUCUUCUUCCGGCGACUUUCUCUCUUCUCUUCUUUCUAUCUUCUCUAUUUUCUCUGUGAUUUUCUUCUUUUUCUCAGUAAACAGUAAAACAGAUCCGUUGUAGAUGAAGAAAACAACGGUCGAAGGUGAUAGAAACAAAAUCAAUGGCGAUUAUUCCUCUUCACGCGCUUUAGAUCUGUUCAAAACGGCGAUGGUUCAACAUAUGCACUUCAAAUCUUCUUCUUCUCUCGCUUCACAUCAAUGGCUAUUCUUUCUCUUCCCGAGUUUUUAUUGUCCUCAUGUUUUCGAUUUAGGGCUGUAAAUUAAGAUUCUGGGUUUUGUAUGAUUAGGGUUCUUCUUGUUCUCUAUAGAUGUGUUUUUUUUUAUGAUUUAAUGAUUUUAUUGUUCUUGUUCCCCCUUUGCAAAGUAUGUUUCGUGUUUUUUAUUUGUUUUCUUCAGAUCUGGAUCCAGUAUAACUCGGUAUUACUAACUCAGUCGAGUUUGGUAUAACUAACUCAGUAGUACCUAGUAUUUUAUAGUAUAAUAAGUAGAACUUAGUCGAACUCGAUAUAAUUAACUUAGUAGUAGUACUAGUAAUACUUAGUAGUAGUACUAGUAAUACUUAGUAGUACUCAGUACAAUCGGUAUAACUACAUUCAGUAGUAGUCAGUCAGAGAAUAGCUGUUGCAACCACAUGACUUGCCGGUAAGACAUACAUCCAUAGCUCCAUAGCUCAGGAUGAUUUCUCUGUGUUUACUGGUGUGGGAAACGAACCUGUGAAGGCAAUGACUUGUACAGAGAAAUUAUUGCGAGUGGUGUCAUCAAAGUAGGUGAGAAGUAGGUUGUUUUCAAGUUCGUUGAUUUUCUUUUCUAUAAAUGACUUGUUUUCGAGUUUUCAAGUAGGUGAGAAGAAUGUCUUGAACUGUCUGUUUCUAUAGCUUUUGUCAGCAACGAUUCCUGAGAAAAAGAUUGUGGAUAGCUUAUACCAAGAAGAGCCACAACUCUUGAGGAGACCAAGCAACCACUUUCUCAUUUUUCUCGUUAGUAUAUGAAGUUAGUUUAGUGUUUGGAUGAUCUUAUGUAAAACUUGUUCUUUUUUAAUGUAAUAUUAUAGUGGAAUCCAUAAUCGAAAUCAUCUAGCAGACAAA